rnacentral:rRNA from 1 species
CACGUGGGAACGUGCCCUUAGGUUCGGAAUAGCUCAGGGAAACUUGGGGUAAUACCGGAUGUGCCCUUCGGGGAAGAUUAUCGCCUUGGAGCGGCCCGCGUCUGAUUAGCUAGUUGGUGGGGUAAGUGGCCUACCAAGGCGACGAUCAGUAGCUGGUCUGAGAGGAUGACCAGCCACACUGGGACUGAGACACGGCCCAGACUCCUACGGGAGGCAGCAGUGGGGAAUCUUGCGCAAUGGGCGAAAGCCUGACGCAGCCAUGCCGCGUGGAUGAUGAAGGUCUUAGGAUUGUAAAAUCCU